rnacentral:rRNA from 1 species
AUUGAACGCUGGCGGCAUGCCUUACACAUGCAAGUCGAACGGCAGCACGGGUGCUUGCACCUGGUGGCGAGUGGCGAACGGGUGAGUAAUACAUCGGAACGUACCUUAUCGUGGGGGAUAACGCAGCGAAAGUUGCGCUAAUACCGCAUACGCCCUGAGGGGGAAAGCGGGGGACCGUAAGGCCUCGCGCGAUUAGAGCGGCCGAUGUCUGAUUAGCUUGUUGGUGAGGUAAAAGCUCACCAAGGCGAUGAUCAGUAGCUGGUCUGAGAGGACGAUCAGCCAAACUGGGACUGAGACACGGCCCAGACUCCUACGGGAGGCAGCAGUGGGGAAUUUUGGACAAUGGGGGCAACCCUGAUCCAGCAAUGCCGCGUGAGUGAAGAAGGCCUUCGGGUUGUAAAGCUCUUUUGUCAGGGAAGAAACAGCAGCUCUAACACAGUCUGCGAAUGACGGUACCUGAAGAAUAAGCACCGGUUAACUACGUGCCAGCCGCCGCAGUAA